AGACCCGAAACCCGGUGAUCUAGCCAUGGGCAGGUUGAAGGUUGGGUAACACUAACUGGAGGACCGAACCGACUAAUGUUGAAAAAUUAGCGGAUGACCUGUGGCUGGGGGUGAAAGGCCAAUCAAACCGGGAGAUAGCUGGUUCUCCCCGAAAGCUAUUUAGGUAGCGCCUCGUGAAUUCAUCUCCGGGGGUAGAGCACUGUUUCGGCUAGGGGGCCAUCCCGGCUUACCAACCCGAUGCAAACUGCGAAUACCGGAGAAUGUUAUCACGGGAGACACACGGCGGGUGCUAACGUCCGUCGUGAAGAGGGAAACAACCCAGACCGCCAGCUAAGGUCCCAAAGUCAUGGUUAAGUGGGAAACGAUGUGGGAAGGCCCAGACAGCCAGGAUGUUGGCUUAGAAGCAGCCAUCAUUUAAAGAAAGCGUAAUAGCUCACUGGUCGAGUCGGCCUGCGCGGAAGAUGUAACGGGGCUAAACCAUGCACCGAAGCUGCGGCAGCGACGCUUAUGCGUUGUUGGGUAGGGGAGCGUUCUGUAAGCCUGCGAAGGUGGCCUGUGAGGGUUGCUGGAGGUAUCAGAAGUGCGAAUGCUGACAUAAGUAACGAUAAAGCGGGUGAAAAGCCCGCUCGCCGGAAGACCAAGGGUUCCUGUCCAACGUUAAUCGGGGCAGGGUGAGUCGACCCCUAAGGCGAGGCCGAAAGGCGUAGUCGAUGGGAAACGGGUUAAUAUUCCCGUACUUGGUGUUACUGCGAAGGGGGGACGGAGAAGGCUAUGUUGGCCGGGCGACGGUUGUCCCGGUUUAAGCGUGUAGGUGUGUGUUCCAGGUAAAUCCGGUUCACUUUAACACUGAGGCGUGACGACGAGGCACUACGGUGCUGAAGCAACAAAUGCCCUGCUUCCAGGAAAAGCCUCUAAGCAUCAGGUAACAUCAAAUCGUACCCCAAACCGACACAGGUGGUCAGGUAGAGAAUACCAAGGCGCUUGAGAGAACUCGGGUGAAGGAACUAGGCAAAAUGGUGCCGUAACUUCGGGAGAAGGCACGCUGACAC
rnacentral:rRNA from 3 species